UGCCACCCCGCUGUGACGCAGGCCGCGGUGUCCGGGAACUUCCUCCCCUGCGGAGACGACCGCGCGCCCGGGACCCGCCAGCGAGGGCCGCGGCCGGCCGCUGAAGGCUUGCUGCGGGACGAGGAAAGAAGUCCCCCCUCCGCUUGGCGACAGGGCCACUCCCUGUCGCCUCUAAGACGCCCACCUGGAGGGCUGUGCGCGGGGAAUCGGCUGCGUCUAAUACCGCCUCCACCCUCAUCCCUAACAAAGCGCGGAAAACCCGAGGCUUCCGUGCGCCCAGCGCCUGCUCGGCUACCGCGGCUCCUCCCCCGGGAAUCCCCAACUGCCCGACACUGCCAGACGUGCUAAGCCAGGUUCCAGAGAGACUCGGUUUGAAGCCUCCGCCUGCAAUUUCCUGAAGAUGAAAAAGCAAACUCUGAAUUCUUGAAUGCUGGCAGCUCUCUGUAUGGAAUAUCAGCCCAGUGAAAAAAUGUACAGACAAGAUUACUCAGUCACAUGGUAUCUUCUGGGAAUGCCUAAUCAGUACUGGCCAUUCUAAGAGCAUCAAGAGUUAAACCAUUGCUCCGUGUUGGGAGUCUGGACAAGACAGAUAGAUGUAUAGUACUAUGAGAUGCUGUGAGAGUCAGAAAACAUGCUUGAAGCACCAGAGCCAUGCUAAGCACUUUAUGAAUGCUCGAUAAAUGAUAGCUACUAUUGUCCUUACUGCUUUUCAUUGCCCUGAAAGCAGAAGAGCCAGGAACAGCAACAAGGUUUGGAAAUAUGGUACAUGUAUCCCCUGCAAGUCGAGUCUCCCCCUGAGUUGCUUUAUUGCAGUGCCGUGCCUGCCUUCUAAUAGGGUGAACUGGGCAGUUUUACACGUGUAGGCAAGCGACUCAUAUGCACACUAAAGUUUGAGAGUUACUAGUCUAAAAGCCACUAUGCUAUACUGCUUAGUUCACUUUUUUCUUAUUUUAUGUAGUAUUUAAACCUUAAUUCUAAGUGAUCUCACCUCAGUCAACCUAACGCAAAUCAACAUCCAUACUCUGUAAAGCACUGGGUGAAUUAGCAAUCAAGGGCACCUUGUGUGAAUGCUGGGCCCUGAGGGUCUCAAAGACGUGUAAUGCUUAUUCCCUGACUUCAAGGUGAAUGCUCACAGUUCAUGGCAAUGGGGAUCUGGUGUACACAUGAACCAGAAUAAACCACUUUGAACUAAAUGUGGUUGAAGUUCAGAGAAAGGCGAGGGCACUGUGAGCUAGGUGAACUGGUAUAUGUAUACGGUCUCCAUCUUGACCUUGCACUUUAUACCUAAUUCUUUAGGCCAAAGUUUGACAUUCUAUAUGAGCUUCCAGAGUGUGUCCCCAUACUGGGACUCCACAUAGUUACAAGCUAACCAUGUACAGGUUGGCAGUAGGGAGCCGAAAUAGAUAUUUCUGAGCAGUGCAGGGCUGUUAAGGGAUUUGGAACAAUACAGGUCUAAAUUCGCAUCCUUCUUCACUAGCUAGCUAUGUGACUCUUAGCUUCUUAGUCUUUGAACUUCACUUUUGUUACAUGUCGAAACAUAGCUACUUUUUAAGGUUGUGGUAAGACUUAGAAUUCUGUAACCCAUCUAGUAGGUUGUAUGGAAACGGUAAUUAUGUUACAUUGCUGUUUUGUUGUUAGCCACAAGAAAACUCAGGCUGGGCUAUAUCAUUCUUUAAAGGCAUAAUUCAGAAGUCACCUCUGUGAAGCUGUUGCAGGUUCCAGGCAAACGUAAUUUUCCCUUUCUUGUGCUCCCACAGUACUUAGAUUGAACAUCUAUCUAUUCAGCACUUAGGCAUGGUAUUCUUCCAUUUAUCUCUUUACAUGCCUGCUUUGCUACUGAGUCUGGGAACCUCUCCAGGGCAGGGACUAUAUCUUUACUCAUCUCUACGUCCAUCAUCAGCACCUAGCACAGGACCUGGUAUUAAAUGUUGAAAGAAUGAGUUUUAAAAUCUUUCAAUUUCUUGUACUCAUUCUGACUUUCAGUGUAACUCAUAUUAUACUACAGGCUCUAAAACCUGAACCCUUUAGCUCAUAAAGAAUUUAUUCUAAAAUUAUGCAUUAUGUAUAUAUCUGCUUGAUUUUUCAAUGCUGGGAUUGUUCUUUAAGAGUAACCUGCUAUUCUUGUUUUGUUUGAUAUUUGAUAUCAGUUGAUGCUGCCUGGUAAUAGUGAAAGUAAAAUCUAAAUUCUAAACCCAAACCACCAGCAGGAUUUUACCCUGCAUUCUCUAUCCACCCUGUGCACAUCUGCUCCCCAGACCAUUUGUGAGCUUUGUGGGAAGGAAUUGAACUAACAAAAAACAUUGUUGUUUUAAGUUUCAGCUGAUUACACUGUUGCAACCAUUAGCACUUUCUGAAUUAACAUCUGCAAGAUAAAUGCACCUUUAACAACAGUUUUGAAAUCCUUGACUCUAUGACAUUAAAAAUGCUAAGACAGGAAGAAUAAAACCUUCCCCAGAAAAUGUCCUUUGAGCAGGAAGUUGCCUGAGAAGUAAUGUGGUCAAAUGUGAUGUUGACCCUAAAAUGGAAGUUAAAUUUGUCCCAGAGGAGAUGGCGGUGCUGUUGGGGCCCAGGAAAUGAUACCCCCAAGUAAAGGCCUAAGAAGCAGCCUCACAAACAAAGUCUCUUUCUGGCCUCCUGGUCUCCUUUCUCUCAUCCCUUAUUCUCACCGAAGGCAAGCCGCAGAAACUAGAAUCUCCUCUUCCCCAAGCUGGCCAUAAGGAAAUUAAGACCUUCGUUCCAGAGAGGUCCUACCCCAUACCCAGGAGGAAGGAAUGUUGCACUGAGAGCCCAAGAAAAAUCUGAGCAGACACGUCUUGCCUAGUUUCCCCACUCAAUUAGCAUUAAAUCACACCCUUUUUGUCCAAUCGUAUUUCUACAUGGCUGUCCAUACUUCACUAAACCUAAGUAUCAAAAUGGACAGUUUUCCCUGGAAGGUUCCUAUGUCACCUAAAACUAUGAUCAAAUGAAUUUGUUAUGCUUUUCUCUUGCUAAUCUGCUUUUUUAUGGGGUAUCAGUCAGCCAUGACCCUUGGGAUAGGGAGGAAAGGGAUCAUCCCCUUUCUGCCCCCACAGUUCCAAGGACCUAAAAAUAGUUUACUAUAAAACCUUAGAUAAAAUUCUUCUAAAAAUCAGUUUUGUAUAUUUUACUCCCCUAAGACAGAAUUUUUUGUUCCCAUUAACUUGUGGAAUUUUCUUUGGAAAUAAUGGAUAAGCAUUUAUGAGGUACAUACUGUGUACUAAGUACAGGUUGAAUAUCUGUAAUCCAAAAUGCUUGGAACCAGAAGUAUUUGGAUUUUGGAAUAUUUGCACUAUACUUUGCCAGCUGAGCAUCCCAAAUCCAAAAAUCCAAAAUCUAGAAUGCUCCAAUGAGAAUUUCCUGUAAGUGUCAUGUCACUGCUCAAAAAGUUUCAGAUUUUGAAGCAUUUUGGAUUUGGGAUGUUCAUCUUGUAGUAGUUUUGUAUGCAUUGUCUCAUUUAAUCACCAUAUCUAUGCAUUAUAUGGGCAGUAUAUUUCCUCUUACUGACAGAGGAGAAAACUGAGGCCCAUUAUAAUCAAGCAGCUAGCCAAAGGUCACAUGACCAAUGAGUGGAAGAGUUGGGAUUUGGACCUAGGCAAUUCUAAUUUCAGAGUUCUCAUGCUUAACCACUACUUAAUCCUGUGGGAAAGGAAAUUUAUUUUUAAGUUGAUCAUCAAGUAUAUUAAGUAAGGUUAAUGAUGUACUUUUUCAGUAGUUUUUGAAAUUGCAUUCAUUUGUGCUUUUUCUAAUAGCAUAUUUACAUCCCAAGUGUGCCUUCAUGAGGUGGUUUUACAAUUUGCUCUUUAAUUGAAAGGCACUUUAUGACUGAAACUAAAUGUCUUAAUGAAAGAUCAUAAAGUGUCUGUGGCUCUGAGUUAAGGCAAUAUGAUAUAUACCAGGCAGAGGUCUUAUAUUUAGAAUCAUUGUUCAGAUGGGCCAAUGAUAGACAAGUAACUUUCACAUGAGGAAUAUUGUUACACUGUGAUAUGAUAAAAAUAUGCAUUUUUUGGUUUUUGCCUAUGGUUCUUGGCUCACAGCUCCUAAAACUCUUGUAAUUUUCUAAGUGAUUAGAGCUAUAGGAGCAUCUUUUGUUAUAAUAUUUGGAUUUUGACAUCAGUUCCAGAGCUAUAAAGGUGAAAGAAGUGGCUUUAAUUACUCCUAAGACACCUCUUUCAACCACACCUGGGUUUAUGUCAAUGACAUAAUGUUUGGAAAGCUCCUAGCCAACCACAGGAUGGGGGCUGGUUGCCACAGAAACUGAUCAUGUGAUUAGAGAGUUUUAACUUUCAGCCCUAUCCCUGACCUUAGGGGAGGGGAGAAAGGAGUGAGGGACUGGAGACUGACUUAAUUACCAGUGCUAAUGAUUCAAUCCAUCAUGCCUGUGUAAUGGUUCCUCCAUAGAAACCUAAAAGGAUGGAGUUCAGAGAGUUUACAGGUUGGUGAA